rnacentral:lncRNA from 1 species
CCCGCCUUGGCCUCCCAAAGUGCUGGGAUUAUAGGCAUGAGCCACUGUGCCCAGCCCCAUGACAUGCAGUUCUGAUUUUGUUUGAGAGCACUCCUGCUUGGAGACUGAAGAUUGUUGCUUAGAACUUCAACUGCAGAGCAUUCAGUUCUUCUGGAAAUAAUACUGCAUUCAUUUCCUGGGGUCACUGUCACAAAGUCUCACAAACUGAGUGUCUUGAAAACAGAAUUUUAUUGUCUCAUACUUCUGGAGGCUGGAAGUCUAAGAUCAUGGUGUCGGUACUGGCAGGGUUGGUUCCUUCUGAGGCUGUGAGAGAGAAUCUGUUCUGCCACUCUCUGAGCUUCUGGUAGCCUCAGGCAUCCCUUGGUUUGUAGAUGGCCAUCUCCUCUGUGGGUUCUCCCUCUGUACUUUCCCUCUGUAUCUUCCUGUCCCUGUACCUGUCUCUGUGUUCAAAGUCUCCCUUUUGCUAAGGACACAGUCAUACCGGAUUAGGGCUCUCCCUAAUGACCUCAACUUGUGCAUCUGCAAAGACUUUAUUUCAAGUAAGGUCACAGUCACAGAUACUGUGAAUUAGGACUUCAAUAUCAUCUUGGGGGACUCAUUUCAGCCCAUAACAAAUCUUUUCUGCCACCCGAAAGAAGUCAGGACUAACCAGAAAGAGUGAAAACCCUUCACAAGAGGAAAUUUCUUAAUGUUUCUGAAAAAAGAGAUACAUCCUACCUUAAACCUAUAUAGGAUUUUACAGACUAUAAAACAUAUUCAUGAUCUUCAUAGUAACCCUUCAAAUCUACUAAAUACAUUUAUAGUCAGAACGUUUAAUUAAACACUUUGAGGUCACAUUCACAAGGGAGGGUCUACGGCUGAACUUUAGUCAUACAAUCCCAUUCAUGUUUACUGCUCUCCCCAAAUAAAUGAGCAGUCCAGUCUGACUCAUCACAGACCAGGGGGCACGAUGGCUGAGAAACCGCAGACUAACCUAGCUGACAUCACAAAGAACCUGAAAGGUCUGGUCACAAGAGAGCAAAGGAAGGUGAAUAAAUCCUCCUUCAGAAAGUGGCGCAUUCAGGAUGAGAUGCUGAGGAAGAAAGGAAAACACAGUGCUACCACUUGUGAAGAUCACUGAUUAAUACAGACACUGAAGACUACCUUUUUUUUGAUUAGGAUGGAAAGAGGUCUCUUGAAUUUACCAGGAUAUACUGCUAAUCUGGCAACACCAAGAAGCACUGAGCACCUAUCUUCUUUAAAAUGCCUAGGGAAUUCUUGCAGGAAGUAACUCUAGAAUGAGACCUGAAGUUGUCAAGUAGAAAAGGGGUGCGGCUGAAGAACUGCUGUAGAGGCAGACAGAACAGCUGUGCAGGAAGUGAGAGCAAGGAACACCUUUGGAAACCCCUGACCAGGGUAAAGCAAGGAUCCCAACGCACUGCGAACAGCUGGGUGACGGAGUACCGUUUACAUCUUCACAGAAGUUUUUCACCAUUUCUCCAAUCAUUCUGUGUUUUCCAGCAAGUUUCUAUAGAAGUAUGCUCCAACUCACUCCGUCGUAAGCACGGCUUCUCUCCUGAGUAUGCUAAACUCCCCAAACGCAGCAACAACACAGCGUUCCGAUCUUUGGAAUUAAUAAGCAGUGAAACGUUUGAAACUGAACAAAAAUUUUUACAGCUACUGAACUUCCUGUAAGGAAGGCAUGCUUAGUAAACUGCACUCUUUCUGUAAUACUGUGAAAUGGGAGGUAUUUACGUUGGAGGGCUGAUUGCUGGUUCUUCAUAUGAUGUUUUGAAGUGGAGGUUUCUAUUAAUGAUGCCUCUGUUGAGCACAUCUGGUAUAUUUCUGAAGAGAGGCUUUGUAAACACAUUGGGCAGGCCCAGCUUGUAAGUGACAAGGCAGCACAGUGAGGGUGCAGUGGAGAAAUCCAAGGAAAUAAGGGAUUUGUAAGAAACUAGGACCAGCUUAAGUUAUAAUGAAAGGGCAUCGUGUUAGGAAAAGAACAUUUCCAUCCUUCAGUCACCAUCAGUUAAAGCAGACGUACAUGGAAACCAGAAUGAUCUCUUUACAAGGUUAUUAAAGAUUGUUUUUAUUACCAUAAAUCACUCCUCAUUGGUCUCCUAUCUCCAAUUUGAUGUUUAGAAUCUAAUCUGGAAUUCUUAUGAUGCCCUAGGAGGCCCCUGAUGCUCUGCCUCCUGGUCUGUUUCUAUGUCUCUGUCCCCUAUAUAUAUAUUU